UGGGUAUCGAUUUUUUUCUAUAAUCAAAUAGUUCUAUCUUUCCUGAUCACUUUGGCAUAAUUUUUAUGCAUAUUGAAGCACGGGAUCAACAAUAAAUUUUUGCUCAAAGUUGGGUUACGCGUGCGAAUUUUUACCACUGAAAUAUUAUACGGAUGUGACGUAAUAAAAAGGACGGAAGUCGAAGUAGGAGCAUUGAUUUACUAGUAUUUUGUUAGAUUUUUAACACAUAUACACAAUAAAAUAUGAGUUAUUCAAGCAGUGAAAGCGAACGCAGUUCGGAUACUGAAAACUCAGAUAUGGCAAAUGAAAAUUUACUUUCAAAUUCCGGCGAUGAGGAUACAAUUGUGGCUAAUUCAGUGGUAAAUCCUUACGAAAAUGAACCUCUUGCGAACGCAGUCGGAGAGAAUUUUGUGUCGGUCGAAGAAGACGCAGAUGGCUUAGAACCUCGAACAUUGGAAGCGAGGUUCGAAGGAACCUUUCAAUUAGAUAAGUGGUGUGCAUGUAGCUUAGGUCGUACUCAACUGCUGACAGAUGCCAUUGAAUACCGUUGUUGUCAAUAGGUUGGGCCUACUUUGCAUAAACUGGUAUUCGAUGUUAGCAUUGAAAAAAUUAGCUGUGUUACUCUUUACAAAGAGUACACGAUUAUGACACAUGCUACAGUCUUGAAGAAUGUUGGAAGAAUGUUGGCUCACUUCUAAGAGACCAAGAUGGAAGGUCAUACAAGCGUAUGACCAAGAAUACAUGAAAAUGAAAUGCACUGGCCAUACCUAUUAUACAUGGUAGCAUGAACAACUUACAUGUGGGAAACAAUGGUGUUGAAGAUAGUUGUUUCCUAUCC